rnacentral:misc_RNA from 1 species
CCCGUUCGCCGCUCAGUUUGGUACUCAACAAGUAAUACACACCACACAGGAACCCAGGAGCACCUCAAGAUUAGUAGGAAAAAAAAGGAACCAGUUGCCAGUUUGCCACUGCACUGCACUGUUGUUUCCCAGCGGCUAUUUGUUAGUGAAGCUCUUCCACCGGAACAAGCUGCCAACCUUGCGCAGGACCACCCGCCGCCGGGCGGGCAACCUCGGCAUCGACGAGAACACGCCCAAAUCACCACUCCUCUGGUCGUCCAUCGUGCCAAAUAUGUCGUACGCCGAGCCUUCGAAGGUCUCCGACAGCUGCCGCGGCCGCGUGAUUCCGGCCGGCGGCCUUAUCUUCGAGUCCGACGGGUACUUCUCGAGCCCCGGCGGUCCGACCCUCAUACGCGGCGUCGGGAUCUCCUCCGCGUCCAGCUUCGCGGCCGUGGGGCUCGACGACGUCGCCACGAGCAUGCCCUGAAGCUCCUUGACGCUGUCGCGCGCCGCGGCCUCGCUGACCCGGAGGCACUCCAGCUCCUGCUUCGUGCACUUCACGGCGGUGUCCUUGUCGCCGAGCACGCCCUUGAGCAGCGCGUUCUCGCUCCUCGCCUCCUCCAGCGCCUCCUUCGCCACCUUGGUGUCCU